GACGAACGCUGGCGGCGUGCCUAAUACAUGCAAGUAGAACGCUGAAGAGAGGAGCCUGCUCUUCUUGGAUGAGUUGCGAACGGGUGAGUAACGCGUAGGUAACCUGCCUUGUAGCGGGGGAUAACUAUUGGAAACGAUAGCUAAUACCGCAUAACAAUGGAUGACACAUGUCAUUUAUUUGAAAGGGGCAAUUGCUCCACUACAAGAUGGACCUGCGUUGUAUUAGCUAGUAGGUGAGGUAAUGGCUCACCUAGGCGACGAUACAUAGCCGACCUGAGAGGGUGAUCGGCCACACUGGGACUGAGACACGGCCCAGACUCCUACGGGAGGCAGCAGUAGGGAAUCUUCGGCAAUGGGGGCAACCCUGACCGAGCAACGCCGCGUGAGUGAAGAAGGUUUUCGGAUCGUAAAGCUCUGUUGUAAGUCAAGAACGGGUGUGAGAGUGGAAAGUUCACACUGUGACGGUAGCUUACCAGAAAGGGACGGCUAACUACGUG
rnacentral:rRNA from 1 species